rnacentral:tRNA from 1 species
UGGGUGGUCGCCAAGUGGUAAGGCAGCGGUUUUUGGUACCGCCAUUCGGAGGUUCGAAUCCUCCCCGCCCAG